rnacentral:lncRNA from 1 species
GCUAUUACCAGCUGCUAUUAUAUGCACAGCCAAGAUCUCAGAAAAUAAAGCAAAUAUGUGGAAGCCAACCUGAACACAACGCCACUCUCUUUGUGCCAAACUUUGUGGCCGUUAUGGAGAACAUAAGCACGCAAAUCCGGGCUUCGGGCUUCGGCGUGGCGGAAGCGGGCUCGGGGCCCGACAAGAACUACGGCCUGGCGCAGUGCUACGGCGACCUCUCCCCCGUCGACUGCGUGCUGUGCUACGCCGAGGCCCGCACGGUCCUGCCGCAGUGCUACCCGGUCAACGGGGGGAGGAUCUACCUCGACGGCUGCUUCAUGCGGGCCGAGAACUACAGCUUCUACGGGGAGCACACGGGCCCGACCGACCAAGCUGUAUGCGGGAACAGAACCCGGCCCGGUUCGGCCUUCAAUGAAUCGGUCGGACGGGCGUUGUCGCAGGCGGUUUCGGCCGCACCGAGCAACAACGGCUAUGCACGGGCCGUGGUCCGAACGAGGAACGAGUCGGCCUACGUCCUGGCCGACUGCUGGAGGACGAUUAGCCCUAGUGCCUGCCGGGCCUGCCUGGAGAACGCGUCUGCGGCCAUAUCGGGCUGCCUGCCUUUGUCCGAGGGCCGGGCCCUCAACACGGGCUGUUUCAUGAGGUAUUCAGACACCAAUUUCCUCAAUCCUAUACCUAGAAGUGGAAGCUCAAGAGGUAAUAGAACUAGUUAGAGUGUGUUUUUGUCUGAGUUUUCGCCUUCUUUAGCUUUUNAACCACCUAGUCCAAGAAGUGCUCAAGCGUCGAGGGCUUAUUUAAAUUAGGAAAUUAUGUUAUUUUUUAUUUUAUUAUCGUAUUUUAAUUAUAUUUUUAAUUUUAUUUUAAUUAUUGUAAUGUUUAAUUUUAUUUUUAAUGAAAUUAGAAAUUUUAAAAUAAAAGUGUAGAAAUAUAAAUUUUGUAGAAACGAAGAUUUAAGCACCCACAUAAGACACAAUGCAUUGGAGAGGGGUGUGUCUUAGGUGGGGCCCACUCCUAAGACACUCAUCUAAGACACAAGCAUUGGAGUUGCUCUAAUACUCCACUAUUUCUCAUACAUGUCUUUUGUGGAGUUUGCUACUUAAUUUCCGAGAAUAAAGAAAUUAGAAAAAUAAUUUGUAAAUAAAUGUAUAAAAAAUGAGUAGCGUCAAAAACGACGACCCCACUCAACGCGACAGACAGAGGCGCUGAAGUUGAAGAAGCUUCUGCGCAUGCUUUUCUUUGUCAAUUUUCAAAACUUUGACAAAAUCAUGGAAAAUUCAUCCUAAUUUCACCCACUUUUUUCUCCAUUUUUACUUCUCUCAUCCCCAAAAUCCAAUCGCAUCGUUUGAUGAUAGUAUAUGGAGUAAUAUUCAAGCACUCAUCAGUCAUCUUCUCUGUCUACCUUCUCUCACUUGCAGUAAAAGCCAUCGUUAUCUCAGAAUACUGAAAAGGUAAGAAAUCUGUAGCUCUGAUCUCUCUUCUUCAUCGUUAUCUGCGAGUUUCUGUAAACGUUUGUAAAUUUAUUUAUUUGUCGAAAAAACAGAUUUUUCUAUUUUUCAAGUAGUUUUGCUUGCUUUUUAGCUGGAUUUGCUGCAAAAAUUCUUCAUUACUCGAUGAUCCAGGAUUUGGGAUCGUGAUCAAAGGCAAUUAAUUAAAAAGAUGAUAGCUUUUACAUAGAAUUAGGUGUUGAAUAUGAGUGCCUAAAAAUAUUUUUAUAAUGAGAAAAUUAUCUGUAACAACUAUCAACUCGCUUUGUAUUAUCUGGAAAGUUUGUGAAAAAAAAUUGACAACUUUGCUUCUUUGCAUAUAUUUUAUCAGUGUGUGUGUGAGAGAGAGAGAAAGAUGUUGGGUUAUAUUUAUCAUUUAAAAAUUAAUAGGUUUGCCUGCUUUAUUACUCAUGAAUCGUCACUCUCUUUGUUUUCUAGCUCACACAUUUCCUUUUCCAUAAUUUAUUUAACUUUUUAUUUGACGAAAUCUGUGUGUGUGUGUGUGUGUGUGUGUGUGUGUGUGUGUGUGCGUGUAAUAAUUUAGUAUUUGUUUGCAAAUUGCAAACCUAAUUUGACAUUAUUGAAGUGUGAUCAAUUGAGUUUAGGUGGGAUUUGAAGAUAAACCGCCUCAAAUUGCUCUAAUUAUCUCAUUUAAUUUCAUAGACUUUUUGACUUUUAUGCAAAAACAGAUUUGCAAACCUUUCUAUGUUAGUAUCAUAUUUAUUUAGUUGUAAUUUUGGAUCAUGUUUGCACUGCCCUUGAAAUAAUCCUCUCUCUCUCUCUCUAGGGAGAAAGAAAAUCAUGAUGAAGAAGAUUGUGAUCAUGAUCACAAUGGUGAUCUUGCUAUUACCAGCUGCAUUAUAUGCACAGCCAAGAUCUCAGAAAAUAAAGCAAAUAUGUGGAAGCCAACCUGAACACAACGCCACUCUCUUUGUGCCAAACUUUGUGGCCGUUAUGGAGAACAUAAGCACGCAAAUCCGGGCUUCGGGCUUCGGCGUUGCGGAAGCGGGCUCGGGGCCCGACAAGAACUACGGCCUGGCCCAGUGCUACGGCGACCUCUCCCCCGUCGACUGCGUGCUGUGCUACGCCGAGGCCCGCACGGUCCUGCCGCAGUGCUACCCGGUCAACGGGGGGAGGAUCUACCUCGACGGCUGCUUCAUGCGGGCCGAGAACUACAGCUUCUACGGGGAGCACACGGGCCCGACCGACCAAGCUGUAUGCGGGAACAGAACCCGGCCCGAUUCCGCCUUCAAUGAAUCGGUCGGACGGGCGUUGUCGCAGGCGGUUUCGGCCGCACCGAGCAACAACGGCUAUGCACGGGCCGUGGUCCGAACGAGGAACGAGUCGGCCUACGUCCUGGCCGACUGCUGGAGGACGAUCAGCCCUAGGCCUGCCGGGCCUGCCUGGAGAACGCGUCUGCGGCCAUAUCGGGCUGCCUGCCUUUGUCCGAGGGCCGGGCCCUCAACACGGGCUGUUUCAUGAGGUAUUCAGACACCAAUUUCCUCAAUCCUAUACCUAGAAGUGGAAGCUCAAGAGGUAAUAGAACUAGUUAGAGUGUGUUUUUUGUCUGAGUUUUUCGCCUUCUUUAGCUUUUUCUGAUAUAGGUUUCCUGCUGCUGCAGGCAGAGUUAUAGGCCUUGCAAUAGCAGCUGUCAGCGU